rnacentral:rRNA from 1 species
GCUGGGCACUCUGAGGAGACUGCCAGGGAUAACCUGGAGGAAGGCGGGGAUGACGUCAAAUCAUCAUGCCCCUUAUGAUUUGGGCUACACACGUGCUACAAUGGCGUAAACAAAGGGAAGCGAACCCGCGAGGGUGGGCAAAUCCCAAAAAUAACGUCCCAGUUCGGACUGUAGUCUGCAACCCGACUACACGAAGCUGGAAUCGCUAGUAAUCGCGGAUCAGAAUGCCGCGGUGAA